CACUGUCAAAGAAGCAAAGGCAGGGGCGAUUCUAGGAUUUUCAGGGAAGUUCAGACCGCAAUAGUGAAAAAUAAUAAAUAAAUUAAAUAAAAUAAACGUUUGACUAACAGGAAAGUGAACGUGAUGUGUGCAGUAAACCUCUCUCUCCACCUGAGUGCACACGGCACUGAGAAGCACAGCAGGUAACCGGUUCGGUUCGGACCGGACUACACGCGGCACUGGCAAAACGGUGUAACUCCGAGGACGCUGUGUGCUGCUUUGCGUGGUUGUUGCUGACAGGAUUUAUUUGCUUUCUCGGGAAAAAAAGCGACAAUACGGUAGGUAACGUUGUUCUGUUAUAUUACUACUUCUUUGCACACUGUGUACAUGUUGUUAAAGCACAUUUUACAUGAUUGAGCAGGGCAUACACUAACGUUAGCUUAAAAGCAUGCCCAAUCAUAGUGGCCUAACUUUUGAUUCUCUUAACUAAUUUAUUUGAAAGUCGCUGUCAGACAUCGUCUAAGAAACUUUGGCUGCCGAGUUUCGAUAGUUUGUGAAAGUAUGAAAUUGAAAUUAGCUUUAGUGUGAACUAGUUAAUAAGGUAGCUAGCUAGCUCACCAGUCCAUGCCUUUCAAACUCAUUAACUGUCAAGUCGCACACUGUUUUCAUUCGGUUACCAGAUAACUCAUGCUAAUUUAAUUUGAAAGCACACAAUAAAUAACGCGAAUGCCCAUUAAUAUAUUUGAGAGCUUCUAAACAUUGUAUUUUAGAUAAAGGUAACAUUAGCUAUAAUGUCGGUUACACUUCAUUGGCGCUUUCAGUCACGUCCAGUGUUUUUUCGGCGGUUGAAAAACUGACAGUUAGCUAACUAAAGCCAUGGACAGAAACCCUCCAUUAGGCUUAACCUUACUACCUUAACCGAAACAAGUUUGGAUGAUUUUAUUGUUAUUUAUAUCUUACGCUGGUUGUUUUGAGGGCACAAAUGAUGUGGAAAUGUAAAUUGUGUGGUUUUCCAUGUUCUUCAAAAAUACAGUUAUUGAGACAUUACAGACUCAGUCAUGGUCAGUAUUCCAUAAUUUCACCUUUACCUUGCUUGUAUAAUAAUUGCAUGUGUGUAUUCGGUACUUUUAAUUCACUGAAGAUUCAUUUGUAAAGAGUACAUUCAGAAAAAUGGGGCAUUUCAUUGCCCAAUAUGUGAUUUUAAGCAGCCAUUUGUUGAGAAGGAUAUGUUUAUUCAUUUAAGGGGGCACUUAAGACAGAAAGAAAUGGUGCCAUGUCCAUUUAGGGCCUGAAAGUUUACAACUAACAUCUACUCCACAUUUAAUGCACACAAGUGCAUGUUCGGUUCUGUUAGGUUAUAUACCGACAUAUUAUAUUUGGGGUUCAAUAAUACAGGACAGACACGCGAUCAGUGCUACACUUGUGGUCCCUUUAUUAUUCCCUCUUCAGUCCCCCCCAGCACAUAACACACCCGCACAAGGUUCCUACUCCAUAGAAUAUCACCUGAUACUGGAUGGGUAACAAAACACUGAAACCCAACUACAUUUUUUUUUUCUUUUCCUUAUGGGUGUAACGUGUGACUAUACGUGUGUUCCAUCUUGACUAAAUUAACAAGUAAACAUUUCUUUGUAAACUUAAAACAUAUGAACAUGCACCUCUUUUCUGACCAUACAGAUGCAGACUCUUUAACAGUUACUCCAAUGAGUUGCUUUUGUUUUUCCAACUGGUGAUUUAAAGCGUUUUCAAAAUAACUAACACUUCAUCACUACGAGAGUUGGGGUAGACUGCCCAGACGCUCGACCUGAGUGUGGGGAUUAUUCUGCCCCAUUGUUCACUCAGUUCCUAAGUCUAUGAAUAAAUAUAGUCUUUCAGAUACGCUGGAGGUACUCUAGUUCUUACGGGAUAACGUCUCUCACUCUCUGGAGACUGCUGACUGGACACGCUCACUGCUUCAGAAGAUGUACACUUCUGUGCUGUUUCUGGCAGUGAGGAUACGGAUGUUUCAGGUGCCUGGAGUGUUGGCGAAAGGUGAAACCUGUUCCUCCGCAGGGUGCCCUUGGGUGUCUCGAUAAUGUAUGACCUUGGGGUACCUGCUGUUGACACAACCGUGCCUCUUUCUGGCAUGUCCUUCACGCACACACGAUCUCCAGGUUGUAGUUGCGAUAGAUCAUGUGUCCUGUGUCUGCGGCAGUAGUUCCGUUGUUGUUUUUCCCUGUAUAUCUGUUCUGUUGCUUUCAGCUUUUCCAUGUCUGCAUGUUGUGGGUUGAGCUGAGAUGGAAUGACAGGAACAGUUGUUCUGAUUCUCCUCCCCAUGAGAAGUUCCGCAGGACUAUACCCAUUAGCAAGAGGAGCAGAACGGUAGGCCAUGAGUGCAAGAUAUGGAUCAGUGGAUUUCCUGAGAAUACUUUUAACUGUCCUCACAGCUUGCUCAGCCUCUCCAUUGCUCUGUGGGAAAUGGGGACUGGACGUCACAUGGUUGAAGCCCCAAUCCUGUGCGAACUUUUUGAAUGACUCAGAAACAAACUGCGGUCCAUUAUCUGAGUGCACGUCUACGGGGAUUCCAUGAUGUGCAAAGAUAGAUUUAAAAUGCUCACAGCUUCCGAUGUCGUAGAUGUCAGUUUAGCUACUUCAAAAUAUCUGGAGAAAUAGUCCACAAUGAUUAAAUAUUGUUUGUCGUCAAUCUGAAACAAAUCAGCCCCUACAGUGGACCAUGGCCUUGAAGGGAAUGUUGUGGGUAUCAGUGUCAGUCUGAAAUUUAUUCUUUCUUGGCUACAUGCAUCGAAGUUCACUAUCAUUUUUGUCAGUUCCUUGUUAAGGCCUGGCCACUACACUGAUUGCUUAGCUCUUUUUCUGCAUUUAGUUAUUCCCAGGUGUCCCUCAUGCAGUUUGUGAAGAAUGUCCGCCCUGAGUGAUGUUGGAAUCACUAUUCGGCUACCAUACAGCAGCAGACCCUUCUGAACUGUGAGGUCUCCAGAGAAUGGCAAAUAAGGCUGAAAUGCUCUGUCGAUGGAAAACUUGUCUGGCCACCCUUCUGUACAGAACUUACUUAGUUGCUGGAGGAUGGUGUCAUUGCCCUGAUGUUUUUGUAUUUCCCUGAGUCUUAUUUCAGUAGCUGGCAAGCUGGCGAUGACAGAGUCAACAUAGAGGUUGAUUUCUUCCUCCUGCAGUCCUCCCGCUCCACCGCUAACAGGAGCUCAGGACAGUACAUCUGCUGUGGCUAUGUCCUUACCAGCCACAUGAGAGAUUGUGAAGGAAAAUCUCAUAAGCCUCAUGAGUAGGCGUUGUAUGUGUGGUGGCAGCUCGUCCAAGCUCUUUGAGCCAGCAGUGGCACUAAAGGCUUGUGGUCUGUCUCAAUCUGGAAGCUUUUUCCAAUAAGAAACUCCUGGAACCUUUCACAUGCCCAUGUUGAGGCUAGGGCCUCCUUUUCUAUUUGUGCGUACCGUUGCUCAGUGUUGCUCAGAGCUCUCGAAGCAUAGGCCACAGCUUUCCAUCCUGUGUUUGUCUGUUUCUGGAGGAGUACCGCGCCCAUUCCAUAAGAGGAACAGUCUGCUGAGACCAGUGUUUCAGCAUUUGGGUCAUACAGUGCCAGGCCUGGAGGUGUCGUUAGGUCUGCUUUGAUGCUAUCAAAGGCUUCUUGCUGCUGAGGACCCCAGCUCCACAUGUUGGACUUUCUCAAUAAGUCUCUAAGAGGGCGUGUCUUCUCCGCCAGAUGUGGCAAGAAUUUCCCAAGAUGAUUGGUCAUCCCCAGAAAACGUCUCACUUCACUUACAUUGCACGGCUCCUUCAUGGCUGUGAUGGCGUUCACCUUAUCUGGGUCUGGGCUGACUCCAGAUGCCUCAGUAAUCUGACCUAGGAAUUUGAUUCUGUUCUUGGAGAACUCACAUUUGUCAUUAAGUGUGACGCCUGCAUCCAGCAGUCUUGACAGUGCUGUUCUCAGUCUAUCAUCAUGCUCACUCUUUGUGGCUCCCCAUAUGAGCACAUCAUCCAUCUGACACAGAACACCUUCCAGGCCCUCCAGGAUGCGUGACAUGCGUUUCUGGAAGUGUUCUGGUGCUGAUGAUAUUCCAAAGCACAAACGGUUGUAGCAAUAAUGCCCAAAUGAUGUUAUGAAGGUGGUCAGUAGGGAAGACUCUUUGGACAAUGGGAUCUGCCAGAAUCCUGCAUUGGCAUCCUACUUUGAAAACACUUUGGCUCCGGCAAGCUGUCCUAGUGUAUGUUCAACUGAGGGGAAUGGAUGUUUCUCUCUUAACACUGAUUUGUUCAGCUCAGUGAGGUCAGAGCAUAUUCUCACCCCUCCUGUGUUUUUUGGCACCACCACCAUGGGUGCACACCACUCAGUUGGCCCCUCUACUAUAGAGAUGACUCCUUGCUGCUCCAUACGAAUCAGCUCCUCUUUGACCUUUGGUAGAAGUGGGAGGGAGAUUCAUCUUGGUGUUGAGAGUGAAAAAGGCUGUGCUCCAGGCUUAAGCACAAUGUUGUACUCAUUGUAAUCUUCCCAAGACCACUGAAAAGCUUUGGGAACUCUCUUUUUACAGUCUCUUUUUAUUCCAGGCUGAUGCUCUCCAUCCUGGCAACCAGCUGUAAUGCCAUAGCAGCCAUUCCACUCAGCAGUGGCAUACUCAGCCCUCUAACCACAUAAAUGUUUUCAGUAGUGUUCUUAUCGUUCUUGCUCAGAAUAGCUGUGAACAUGCCUUUGACGUUUAAACGUGUUCCUCCUGGCCCCCUUAGGAUCUUUGCAGGUUUUCCUAGUUUACUGAACUGACCCUGGCCAUACAGUGUUUCUGAAACUGCUGUCACAUCAGCCCCAGUGUCGAUUUUGAACACUGUUCUAUGACUGUCCAAAUCUACUUCAGUCAGCCAAGGACUAGUUGUCUCCUUAUCCGACAGUGAGCCCAGAAAGGCAGCUCCUUCCUCAGACUCUUGUCACUGUUGCCACAUUCAUUUCACUCCAUUUUUUUGUUCUGCAGACUCUUGCGUAAUGUCCCUUUUUCUUGCACUGAUUGCACACUGCAUCUUUUGCUGGGCAUUGUUGCCAGCUGUGGCCUUUUGCAUCUCCACAUCUUUUGCACUGUGUCAGUCUGUCCUGCUGCAUUUUCUUUACUUUCUGUCUGAACUGCUGCUUGCUUAGUUUUGGCUGCGUGUCGCCGUGUUGGCGCGCGUGCAUGCUGUCGAGCUGCAUGUCUGCUCUAAAAUUGCUGUUAAGCAUUUCUUGUUGUUUCUUAACCUGUUCACUUUGUCAAGCUCUAAUAACAGCUUUCUCUAGCAUCAGUUCAGGGUCCAUUUGCAGUUGCUCUGAUAAGCAUUUAUCUUUUAAGCCAACAACAAAUCUGUCUCUCACCAUUUCAUUGUGCAGAGCACCGUAGCCACAGUAUUCCGCCAGGCAUUGUAGUGCUGUAUGGAAGCUGUCGACCGUCUCUCCCAUCGCUUGCUGCCUUUUUUAACCGCGUUGUAGUCAACCGUGUCCUCUGGGCUUAGAUGCAGUGAAACCAAUAUGUCCUCUGCUUCCUCUCCCAUCGAGUAGAUAAGUGCAUUUACCUGGUUUUCUUCUGGUUGAGUUUCCAAACCGGAGGCGAUGCGGAAUCUUUCAAAGCGCUUUAUCCACUUUGGCCAGUCAUCCGCCUUAAACGUAAACUUUUCCGCCGGCGGAACAUGAAACUGACUCAUGUCAGCGCGUCCUGGCUUUCCUAACGUUGGUGUGCUCUGCUUCACUCGGAGCAAAAGAAAAAAAAGAAACAUAGCUCGACUCUCAGUUGCCAACCUUAACUAGUCACCAGUCGUAUCCAGCUUCUGACACCAUGUUCAGUUCUGUUAGGUUAUAUACCGACAUAUUAUAUUUGGGGUUCAAUAAUACAGGACAGACACGCGAUCAGUGCUACACUUGUGGUCCCUUUAUUAUUCCCUCUUCAGUCCCCCCCAGCAUAUAACACACCCGCACAAGGUUCCUACUCCACAGAAUAUCACCUCAUACUAUAGUGCAGAGAACAUCAAAAUGCAUCUGACUAUGAUGUAGCAAUUGUAGUGCAACACGUGUCAAAUAUUUCUCAGGAUAGUGACACUGAACAUGACCCAGAAGAGCUUUCAGAAGAAAGAGACAUUUGCGGUCAUAUGAGCUAAGAGAUCAGAAUAGCAAGGGCUAUACAGUGAAGUCUGUGAGUCAGCUAAAUGACCAGAUGCCUCAGUUUGCCUACAGAGUUACAAGUAAACUAAUUCUCACAACUAAACAUUUUAUUCCUGUGUCCGAUUAAAAAAAAAAAGAGCCACCAAAUUGAGCAGCCUUCCUGGUAUGGUGACCUGAAGGAGACUAAAGAUCUCCCUGGACCUUUCUAAGAAAACUGGUGAUCACCUUUCUAGCCACAUAGGACAACAUUCAAAGGUAAUGUCUGUUUUCCACUAUGACCCCUGUGUUACAUGAUGUCAUUUCAAAGUUAAGUUAAAUGCAUGUAGUGUGGUGGUUGGUUGACUGACCACCACACUGCACAGUGAGUAAGUUGACUACUGGACUAAACACUGGAGUGUGAGGUACCCCAUUUAAUACCAUGUUCUGAAACUUGUACAGAUUCUGUGAAUUUCCACUGAUGUAACAUACCAGAAACUGGCUGCAUUUUAACAUAUAUGUACUAGAAACAUACCAGAAACAGGAUAGCUGGCACAGUCCAAAAAGGAAAAAUAGAAAGCUGGAAUCUGGACUACCUCUUUGUUCUUUGUUACAGAUUUCCCUAAUACAGAAAAUGGAAGCGACCAAUGUUCUGAAACUACAAGUCAUCCUUGAUGAUGUCAACGCUGAGAGGCUUAUUUUGCCCUCUUGCCCUGAGACUGUAAAUGCCCUAAUAUUUGAGGUGAAAAAUAAGCUGAACCUGACUUACAGUACGAGUUUCGCCUUCAGUUUCAAGACCCAGAGUUUGACAAUGCCCUGUGCAAUUUAGUUAAUAUAGAGGGCCUACCAUCCAAGGCAACUGUUAAGAUAAUUAGAUUAAUUGAGUCAGAUUUGAGGUCGACCAGCACAGAAGACACAGUGUUGCUGUCUGAUAACACAGAUUCAGCAGAGUAUCUUUGCCGGUGGCCAGACAUCUUCGUGGUCCCAACUUUCUCAUAUGAGGUGGAGUAUGCACUAAGAGAGGUCAGCUCUGAGGGGAAAAUGAUCCGGUUAACUAGGGAUCAAAAACACAAUAUACUUGAUGUAAUGGCUGCUGAAAUAUAUAAGCACAAAGCAUAUCCUAGUAGCAAACAAAUAGGCAAGGCUGCAGAGGCUCUUGUGAGCAAACAUCCCUGUCUAAAGGAAAAUGGUUCCAAAACAGGGUAUGAGGGUUGGAAGAACAGCCUGAGCUUUAAGAUGGGCAAAUACAGGACCAAACUGAGCAGAGCUGGCAUAAAGGAUGUGGCUGUAAAUGCGGGAAAGCGCAGCAGGACCAAUCCAGAGGGUGCAGCCUCCAGGGCCAACAUCAAAAGACCCAGAAGAAGGGAAGUCAACUUUCUUCCCAAUUAUCCUCACGGACAAACUAAAGACACCCUGGAGACCCAGAGGCUUGAGAUGGUGGAGCAGUUCAAGAAGGCAUCAGCAGAAAGAGACAUGAUACUAAUCCAUCAGCAUAUGCAGCAGACCUUUGCACUCAGACAUGAAGAAAUUGUGAAUUCAGCUCCUCCCAGUGCCGAACUAAAACACAGAUGGCCUGGACUCUUUUGCGAAGCCCGACUCUACAGGGAGUUCCACAGGAUCACCAAUCAAAACCUACUAUUUACCUUCUUUGCUGCACUUGACAAAGUAUACACCUCAGCUACUAAAGCUCUACAAAAAGAGGAAGACUGGAGUUUUUGGUGAGAAGAUGGAAGAAGUUUUGAUGACUUUUGAAGAACAGGAGAACAACAACAUCAGUGCAGCUAGAACAGUAGCCCUGGCUGGCCUACCAUUAUACUUAAAGGAGGACUCAUCAGAAAUCUUCAAAACUUCCAAGGAAGGGUUUGAGGCAGACCAAGAAGGGGCAGUGGCUUUGGUGGCAGUGGUCAGUGAUGAAGUGCCUGCAGGAGUCCCUUUUGAAACUCACCAUGUGUCAGUCAUCCUCGAGGAUCAGGUUGUAAUGUCUCACAGAUCUUGGACUGAUUCACUGGUAUUUUCUUUGGACUGAUUUAUGCUCUGCAUUUGAGCUACCCUGAGAAGCUAAGUGGCUUCUUUAAGUUCAUACUUAAAUCUUGAUGAUGGUAGAAAGCAAGUCAAACCAAAGUUGCAGGCCUUGAGAAAUGAACUGGAAUGAAGUUGGUGGCCUGUUUUGUCACUGGAGGUUGGCAGUGUCUGAAAAUGUUUUGGCUUGCAUGCCAAUAAUUGGAAUAGCUUGAGAUCAUACAUGAAAGUGGCUGCUCUGAUUUCCGUUCAGUUCUCGUUCAUUUCUUACUGCUUUUCUUGAAUGUUUUUACACUUUCUGCAUUGCCAUGUUAAAACUUUUUAAAUUAUUAUUUCAUAGUUUUACAACAUGUGUAUGACAUUUAUACACCAGCUUCAUUGUGUAAAGAUAUGGACAUUGACUGCUAGCCAGAGUAGUACCAAAGAAUCAAAAUAUUCCAAAUCUGCUACUUAGAAGAAGUUACGGGAGGAGUAUGGGCACAAUAACAAAUUGGUCUUAAACCUGUACAAAUUGAGAUCUGUGGUCUGUCAAUAAUGUCCAAAAUCUUUGUAGAGGAAGCUUCUGAAUAAUAUGUUACUACAGACAAGCAUAGUGAUUCUUUGCUUUCUAGGCCUAUUUGAGUUAUUGUUUAAAAAAAGACAGUUUUAUUUCUCUUGCACAGACUUGGAUCAGGGGGUAUACUUAACAAUUCUAAAUUUAGGCUGAACCUUUAAGUCUUAGUUUUGUUGGGAUGUUUAUGUGAACUUUAAGUAAACUCAAAGAUAAUGGGCCAGAAUACAUUUCAUUUUGAAAGCUGUAAACAAGAUGUUUAAAUAUUGAAAUGUGUACUUAAAAUUGGAAGUGUUGAGCUAAAUAAAUAGUUUAAGUUGUGUCAGACGAACACAUGUAUAUUGUGUUAUUACAACUUAAAUGAUUUAAGGCAAUCGGUUUCCUCAAAUGACUUGAGUAGCCACAACAAAGAUUGAAGUUGUCAUAACUAGAUUGUAAUAACUUGUCUUAGUGGAAGACGUAUGAGUAAACUUAAGUGGUAAUAUUAGCAUAAAUUGAUGCAUACAAGUCAGUCUUACUUGAGCCAUAAGUUUUGUUUACAAAUUUUUAAUAUGUUGGUGAAAAUGUUUCAUAUAAGUCUAAAUUAUUUCAUAGUGUUUGUUAGUUUUACUCAAAUCUAAUUAUUUUUUGUGGUUAAAUUGUUUGAGUUAAUAAACUUAAAUGGUUUAAGGCAAUCGGUUUCCUCAAACAGUUUGAGUUGAACUAACUCAUCAGGUUUUACAGUGUUUUAGUAGUGUAUCUAUUUUGUUAUCAAUUUUCCCAUCCUUUUGGAUUACAGAAGUAAAGAUCGUUAUUCUUACCCUGCUAUUAGUGUUGGAUGCAUAAAAAUGAUCUACUUUAGGUAUUUGUGCUGCACAGAAAAUUAGCACCAGGAAUGUAAAUAUUUUAAUUUGUUCAUUAACUAAGGGUGGUUGUUUAUGCAUGAAAGACAAUUAUUAAAAUAAUCAACAUUUUCAUAUAAUUAAAUAUUAAUUUUGCUGCUGUGUAUCUGCAUUUGAUAUUACAAAAUAGUGAUGUAACACAGUUCAUAAAAGCUUUUUGCUUUUUCUAUUCUAAUCACCCGCAGUUUGGUGGAUGUGUCUCCGACAAAAGUCCUGUACAACAAGUGAUCUACUUUACAUUUUCAGGUCCAGCGGUUAGUUUGAAAUAAAAGUUUGUUUAA